UAAGACGAACCGUACGAACGUUAUUCGGAAUUACUGGGCUUAAAGGGUGCGUAGGCGGCGCGGAAAGUUGGGUGUGAAAGCCCUCGGCUCAACCGAGGAAUUGCGCCCAAAACUACCGUGCUCGAGGGAGACAGAGGUGAGUGGAACUUAGGGUGGAGCGGUGAAAUGCGUUGAUAUCCUAAGGAACACCAGUGGCGAAAGCGACUCACUGGGUCUCUUCUGACGCUGAGGCACGAAAGCUAGGGUAGCGAACGGGAUUAGAUACCCCGGUAGUCCUAGCUGUAAACGAUGAGCACUGGGUUGGAGGGUUCUCCAUGACCUUCCGGCCGAAGCGAAAGUGUGAAGUGCUCCGCCUGGGGAGUAUGGUCGCAAGGCUG
rnacentral:rRNA from 1 species